CCCUCCCCCCAUUGCCGCCCUCCCCCCACCAGUCUAGUUCACUGGGGGUUCAGUCUUAGCAGGACCCAGGGCUUCCCCUUCCACUGGUGCUCUUACUAGGAUAUGCAUUGCUACCUAUGAGGUCAGAGUCCAGGGUCAGUCCAUGUAUAGUCUUUGGGUAGGGGCUUAGUCCCUGGAAGCUCUGGUUGCUUGGCAUUGUUGUACAUAUGGGGUCUCGAGCCCCUUCAAGCUCUUCCAGUUCUUUCUCUGAUUCCUUCAACGGGGGUCCUAUUCUCAGUUCAGUGGUUUGCUGCUGACAUUCGCCUCUGUAUUUGCUGUAUUCUGGCUGUGUCUCUUAGGAGCGAUCUACAUCCGGCUCCUGUCGGUCUGCACUUCUUUGCUUCAUUUACUUAUUUUUAUUUUGUGUGUUUUGGAGUUUUUGCCUGCAUGUAUGUCUCUGUGAGGGUGUCAGAUUCCCUGGAACUGGAGUUACAGGUGUAAGGUCCUAGGUGGGUGCUGGGAAUUGAACCUGGGUCCUCUGGAAAAGCAACCAACCAGUGCUCUUGCCUGCUGAGCCAUUCCUCCAGCCCCUUACCAUAAUUAUUUAGCUAGUCCCUUAGUAAGUAGUCUGAUUAAGUUUUAAAUAUUAUAAACAAUAUUGCCAUGAAUAUUUUGUUAGCAGUGUUUUCUGUUAAAGUGAGAUAUAUAUGAUAUCUAGUAGCUUUCUUUUGAAUAGUUAUAUGAGUACCUGCACUAAUUUUUUCUUUUUCUUUUUGCUUGAAUCAUAACUAAAAGGAGCAUUAACGCUUUGUUACUCUUCUCUCUUCUUGUUCUGGUCAGGUUUUACAGCUACAUUGGAUGAUGAUAAACCAUGGUACUCCAUUUUCCCCAUUGAUAAUGAAGAUCUGGUAUAUGGACGUUGGGAGGACAAUAUCAUUUGGGAUGCUCAGAACAUGCCUAGGAUUUUGGAGCCUCCUGUUUUGACACUUGAUCCCAAUGAUGAGAACUUGAUUUUGGAGAUCCCCGAUGAGAAGGAAGAAGCUACUUCUAAUUCCCCUUCUAAGGAGAAUAAGAAAGAAUCAUCUCUGAAGAAGAGUCGAAUUCUCUUGGGAAAAACAGGAGUUAUCAAGGAAGAGCCACAGCAGAACAUGUCUCAGCCAGAAGUGAAAGAUCCAUGGAAUCUCUCCAAUGAUGAGUAUUACUAUCCCAAGCAACAGGGUCUUCGAGGUACUUUCGGAGGGAAUAUUAUCCAGCACUCAAUUCCAGCUGUAGAAUUACGGCAGCCCUUCUUUCCCACCCACAUGGGACCCAUCAAACUCCGGCAGUUCCAUCGCCCACCUCUAAAAAAGUACUCCUUUGGGGCACUAUCUCAGCCAGGCCCACACUCAGUCCAGCCUUUGUUGAAGCAUAUCAAAAAGAAGGCCAAGAUGAGAGAACAAGAGAGACAAGCCUCGGGUGGUGGAGAGAUGUUUUUUAUGCGUACACCUCAGGACCUUACAGGCAAAGAUGGAGACCUUAUUCUUGCUGAAUACAGUGAAGAAAAUGGACCAUUAAUGAUGCAAGUUGGCAUGGCAACUAAGAUAAAAAACUACUAUAAACGGAAACCUGGAAAAGAUCCUGGAGCCCCAGAUUGCAAAUAUGGAGAAACUGUUUAUUGUCAUACAUCACCUUUCCUGGGUUCUCUUCAUCCUGGCCAGUUACUGCAGGUGAAGAAUUCUUUCCUGUCUUUAUUCUCUUCUAAGGAAGUUGACAGAUAAGGAACAAGUUUUCCCAGAAAAGAACAAUUUUGGUUGAUUGAGGCGUUCAUGUAUUAGGUAUAAGUUAGUAUAAUCACUGGGAGUAAUUAUGGGUGUAGUGGUGGACACCAUUAAUCUCAGCACUUGGGAGACAGAAUUUGAGACUAGCUUGGUCUAUAUAUUGAGUUCCAGGUCAUCCAGGGCUAUGUAGAAAGACCGUGUCUCAAAAAGGGGAGGGAUCUGGAGAGAUGGCUGAGUAGCUAAGAACAUCUAUAGGACUGAAUUUGAUUUCUCAGCUCCUACACAGCAGCUCACAAACAUCUGUAACUCUAGUUUCAGGAGAUCUGAACCGUCUUCUAGUAUCAUUGAGCACUUUAUCCAUGUCGUGCACAGAUAAGAUAGAUAAAGGCAUGCAUAUUUUAAAAAAUAAAAAAGAAUUAAAAAUAAAAGCUUAGUAUAAUUCACUGGAUAUGGAGGGCAGGAGGAUUGCUAUGUAGCAAGUUUCUGUCUAGUUUGGUAAACAGGAGACUGUCUCCAAAAACAAAACCAGUAAAACAAAAUUUAAGGCAAGAUAGUUCCUUGAAAAUAAUUCUGUGUUAUUUUAGAUUUUUGGUCUAAAUAUAGAAGAAUGGGGUUGUUUAUUGUUUGAUUUGUGGAGGUUUGUAUGUGUGGGGAUGUGUGUUUUGAGUUAGGAUCUUUAUACCACAGGCUGACCUGAAAGUUACUAUUUAGUCCAGAGUGGCCUCACACUGGCCUCAAACUUUUGGGGCAGUCCUCAGCCUUAUGAGUGCUUGGAUUGCAUAUAUGACCAUGAGCUACUAUAAAACUGCUAUUUAAAAGUACACACUGGUUGGGUGUGGCGAUGCACACCUUUAACUCUAGGGAGGCAGAGGGAGGUGGAUCUCUGUGAGUUCAAGGCCAGCCUGGUUUACAGAGUGAAUUCCAGGACAGGCAAAGGUAUUGUUAUGCCGGCUUAUAAUCCCAGUACUAGGAAGGCACAGGCAGGAAGAUUAUAAGUUUGAGGUGAGCCUUGGCUGUACAGCAAGACCAUGUCUCAAAAAAAAAAAAAAAAAAAACCAAAAAUACAUUAGGAAGUCUACCUAGAAUUAAUAUAGGUUAUAAGUGUUUUAAAUUCUUCAUGUAAAAUUUGUUUGAGGGACUAGAGAUGAAGCUUGGUGGUACUCACCUAGCUUGUUCAAGGUCCUGGGUUUGUAUCUACCACUGCAAAAUAGUGGCAUAUUUUUAUGAUAAUUUGUUAUGGCGAUCGUGAAUAAUGAAUCAUACUUGAAUGUUAUAGUCUUGUCAUAGUAAAGUGUAGAUAUACAUUUUUUGGCAACCUCUUUUUUUUUGGCAACCUCUUUUUAAUAAGGGUUCAAUCUCUUCUCUAGCUUACCACCCAGUAGAGGUAGUGGAAGAGAAAAGAGAAAAGUUAUUAGGAUGGGGGAAUUGGACUUGUUCAGCAAUAGUUCUUUAGGGGCAAGCUUGAUAUUUCUCAGCAGUUCAGUCCCAUAGCAAACACCAAAUAUGACACAGCAGCUGCAGACCAGUCCUCUAGGCAGGCAGACACCAGGCAUGAACCAGCAGCUACAGUCCAAUCCUUUCAGCAAGCUCUCACCAGAUUCUGAUUAUCAUUGGCUUUCCUCUUCAAACUUUCUUUCUGGUUUCUUGUUGGUUUUAAACCAAACCAUCUCCUUCUUUUGUCACUAUUUUUAUAGUUUCUUUUCCCUAAUUUCUUUCUCGGCUUGUUUCUCUUUUUUUGUAGAGGAAGGCCACUGAUUUAUUUGAGUUAAUUUUAUACCAAGCCACUUUGCUGAAGGUGUUUAUCAGGUUUAGUAGUUCUCUGGUGGAACUUUUGGGAUCACUUAAGUAUACUAUCAUAUCAUCUGCAAAUAGUGAUAUUUUGACUUCUUCCUUUCCAAUCUGUAUCCCUUUGAUCUCCUUUUGUUGUCUGAUUGCUCUGGCUAGAACUUCAAGAACUAUAUUGAAUAAGUAGGGAGAGAGUGGGCAGCCUUGUCUAGUCCCUGAUUUUAGUGGGAUUGCUUCAAGUUUCUCUCCAUUUAGUUUAAUGUUAGCAACUGGUUUGCUGUAUAUGGCUUUUACUAUGUUUAGGUAUGGGCCUUGAAUUCCUGUUCUUUCUAGGACUUUUAUCAUGAAGGGGUGUUGAAUUUUGUCAAAUGCUUUCUCAGCAUCUAAUGAAAUGAUCAUGUGGUUUUUAUCUUUCAGUUUGUUUAUAUAGUGGAUUACGUUGAUGGUUUUCUGUGUAUUAAACCAUCCCUUCAUACCUGGGAUGAAGCCUACUUGAUUAUGGUGGAUGAUUGUUUUGAUGUGCUCUUGGAUUCGGUUUGCAAGAAUUUUAUUGAGUAUUUUUGCAUCAGUAUUCAUAAGGGAAAUUGGUCUGAAGUUCUCUUUCUUUGUUGGGUCUUUGUGUGGUUUAGGUAUAAGAGUAAUUGUGGCUUCAUAGAAGGAAUUCGGUAGUGCUCCAUCUGUUUCAAUUUUGUGGAAUAGUUUGGAUAAUAUUGGUAUGAGGUCUUCUAUGAAGGUCUGAUAGAAUUCUGCACUAAACCCUUCUGGACCUGGGCUCUUUUUGGUUGGGAGACUUUUAAUGACUGCUUCUAUUUCUUUAGGCGUUAUGGGGUUGUUUAAAUGGUUUAUCUGUUCCUGAUUUAACUUUGGUACCUGGUAUCUGUCUAGGAAAUUGUCCAUUUCCUGCAGAUUUUCAAGUUUUGUUGAAUAUAGGCUUUUAUAGUAGGAUCUGAUGAUUUUUUGAAUUUACUCUGUUUCUGUUGUUAUGUCUCCCUUUUCAUUUCUGAUUUUCUUAAUUUGUACACACUCUCUGUGUCCUCUGGUUAGUCUGCUAAGAGUUUAUCUAUCUUUUUUAUUUUCUCAAAGAACCAGCUUUUGGUUCUGUUUAUUCUUUGUAUAGUCCUUUUUGUUUCUACUUGGUUGAUUUCAGCUCUGAGUUUGAUUAUUUCCUGCCUUCUACUCCUCCUGGGUAUAUUUCCUUCUUUUAAUUCUAGAACUUUUAGGUGUGCUGUCAAGCUCCUGAUCUAUGCUCUCUCCUGUUUCUUUCUGCAGGCACUUAGAGCUAUGAGUUUUCCUCUUAGCACAGCUUUCAUUGUGUCCCAUAAGUUUGGGUAUGUUGUACCUUCGUUUUCAUUAAAUUCUAAGAAGUCUUUAAUUUCUUUCUUUAUUUCUUCCUUGACCUGGUUAUCAUUGAGUAGAGCAUUGUUCAACUUCCAUGUAUAUGUGGGCGUUCUUUUCUUACUGUUAUUGAAGACCAGCUUUAGCCCGUGGUGGUCUGAUAGGACGCAUGGGAUUAUUUCUAUCUUUCUAUGUCUGUUGAGGCCUGUUUUGUGCCUGAUUAUAUGGUCAAUUUUGGAGAAAGUACCAUGAGGUGGUGAAAAGAAGUUAUAUUCUUUUGUUUUAGGAUAGAAUGUUCUAUAAAUAUCUGUUAAGUCCAUUUGGUUCAUAAUUUGUAUUAGUCUGUCUAUGUCUCAGUUUAAUUUCUGUUUCCAUGAUCUGUCCAUUGAUGAGAGUGGUGUGUUGAAAUCUCCUACUAUUAUUGUGUGAGGUGCAAUGUGUGCUUUGAGCUCUAGUAAGGUUUCUUUUAUGUAUAUAGGUGCCCUUGUAUUUGGAGCAUAGAUAUUUAGGAUUGAGAGUUCAUCUUCAUGGAUUUUUCUUUUGAUGAAUAUGAAGUGUCUUUCCUUAUCUUUUUUGAUGACUUUUGAUUGAAAAUCGAUUUUAUUCGAUAUUAGAAUGGCUACUCCAGCUUGCUUCUUCAGACCAUUUGCUUGGAAAGUUGUUUUCCAGCCUUUUACUCUGAGGUAGUGUCUGUCUUUGUCUCUGAGGUGUGUUUCCUGUAGGUAGCAAAAUCCUGGGUCCUCAUUACGUAUCCAGUUUUUUAAUCUGUGUCUUUUUAUCGGGGAAUUGAGUCCAUUGAUGUUGAGAGAUAUUAAGGAAUAGUGAUUGAGGCUUCCUGUUAUCUUCGUAUUUGGAGACGAAAUUAUUUUUUGUGCUUGUCUUCUCUUUGUUUUGUUGCAAAAUGAUUAGUUUCUUGCUUUUUCUAGGGUGUAGCGUGCCUCCUUGUGUUGGGCUUUACCAUUUAUUAUCCUUCGUAGGGCUGGAUUUAUAGAAAGGUACUGUGUAAAUUUGGUUUUGUCAUGGAAUAUCUUGGUUUCUCCAUCUAUGUUAAUUGAGAGUUUUGCUGGAUACAGUAACCUGGGCUGGCAUUUGUGUUCUCUUAGAGUCUGUAUGACAUCUGUCCAGGAUCUUCUGGCUUUCACGGUCUCUGGUGAGAAGUCUGGUGUAAUUCUGAUAGGUCUGCCUUUAUAUGUUACUUGACCUUUUUCCCUUACUGCUUUUAAUAAUCUUUCUUUGUUUUGUGCAUUUGAUGUCUUG
rnacentral:lncRNA from 1 species